AGGACGAACGCUGGCGGCGUGCUUAACACAUGCAAGUCGAGCGAGGCCCUUCCUUCGGGAAGGUGCCCUAGCGGCGAACGGGUGAGUAACACGUGGGCAACCUGCCCCUAGCACUGGGAUAACUCCGGGAAACCGGGGCUAAUACCGGAUAUGACCUCUGAGGGCAUCCUCUAAGGUGUAAAGGAUUCUGGCUAGGGAUGGGCCCGCGGCCUAUCAGCUUGUUGGUGGGGUAAUGGCCUACCAAGGCGACGACGGGUAGCCGGCCUGAGAGGGGCGACCGGGCCACGACUGGGACUGAGACACGGCCCAGACUCCUACGGGAGGCAGCAGUGGGGAAUAUUGCACAAUGGGCGAAAGCCUGAUGCAGCGACGCCGCGUGAGGGAUGACGGCCUUCGGGUUGUAAACCUCUUUCAGCAGGGACGAAGCGAAAGUGACGGUACCUGCAGAAGAAGCACCGGCCAACUACGUGCCAGCAGCCGC
rnacentral:rRNA from 1 species